rnacentral:rRNA from 1 species
ACGAACGCUGGCGGCGUGCUUAACACAUGCAAGUCGAACGGAAAGGCCCUUGCUUGCAGGGGUACUCGAGUGGCGAACGGGUGAGUAACACGUGGGUGAUCUGCCUUGUACUUCGGGAUAAGCCUGGGAAACUGGGUCUAAUACCGGAUAGGACCAUGCUUUAGUGUGUGUGGUGGAAAGUUUUUUCGGUACAAGAUGAGCCCGCGGCCUAUCAGCUUGUUGGUGGGGUAAUGGCCUACCAAGGCGACGACGGGUAGCCGGCCUGAGAGGGUGUACGGCCACAUUGGGACUGAGACACGGCCCAGACUCCUACGGGAGGCAGUAGUGGGGAAUAUUGCACAAUGGGCACAAGCCUGAUGCAGCGACGCCGCGUGAGGGAUGACGGCCUUCGGGUUGUAAACCUCUUUCGCUAGGGAAGAAGCCACUUGUGGUGACGGUACCUGGAUAAGAAGCACCGGCUAACCACGU